ensembl:snRNA U6 U6 spliceosomal RNA
GUGCUUGCUUCGGCAGCACAUAUACUAAAAUUGGAACAAUACAGAGAAGAUGAGCUUGGUCCCUACAUAGGAUGACACGCAAAUUCGUGAAGCAUUCCAUAUUUUU